rnacentral:lncRNA from 1 species
UUUUGCUCGCUCAAGAGAUGCUGCAAUGGUAGCUGAUUGGGCCUCCUUUACAAACAUCUUCAAUUCUGGUGGGUGUAAUCCAUUAACCAAUAUGGACAACACAAACAAUUCCGGCAUUUGGUUAUUUGGCCAUUUCCGAAGUAUAUCUGCUACACGACCAUAAUAUGACUGUAUCGCUUCCCUUGGUAUCAUUCUACUGUUCAUUAAUCUUUCUCGAAGACGUUCUUCAAAACC